UACGGAGGGUGCAAGCGUUAAUCGGAAUUACUGGGCGUAAAGCGCACGCAGGCGGUUGGAUAAGUUAGAUGUGAAAGCCCCGGGCUCAACCUGGGAAUUGCAUUUAAAACUGUCCAGCUAGAGUCUUGUAGAGGGGGGUAGAAUUCCAGGUGUAGCGGUGAAAUGCGUAGAGAUCUGGAGGAAUACCGGUGGCGAAGGCGGCCCCCUGGACAAAGACUGACGCUCAGGUGCGAAAGCGUGGGGAGCAAACAGGAUUAGAAACCCGAGUAGU
rnacentral:rRNA from 1 species